CUUAAUAGCAAAAACAGAGACCUAACU
rnacentral:piRNA from 1 species